rnacentral:rRNA from 1 species
CCUAGUAACGGCGAGUGAAGCGGCAACAGCUCAAAUUUGAAAUCUGGCUUCGGCCCGAGUUGUAAUUUGUAGAGGAAACUUUUGGUGAGGCACCUUCUGAGUCCCUUGGAACAGGGCGCCAUAGAGGGUGAGAGCCCCGUAUAGUCGGAUGCCGAUCCAGUGUAAAGUUCCUUCGACGAGUCGAGUAGUUUGGGAAUGCUGCUCAAAAUGGGAGGUAAAUUUCUUCUAAAGCUAAAUAUAGGCCAGAGACCGAUAGCGCACAAGUAGAGUGAUCGAAAGAUGAAAAGCACUUUGAAAAGAGGGUUAAAUAGCACGUGAAAUUGUUGAAAGGGAAGCGUUUGUGACCAGACUUGCGCCGUUCCGAUCAUCCGGUGUUCUCACCGGUGCACUCGGGGCGGCUCAGGCCAGCAUCGGUUUUGGUGGGGGGAUAAAGGUUCAGGGAACGUGGCUCCUUCGGGAGUGUUAUAGCCCUGGGCGUAAUGCCCUCGCCGGGACCGAGGUUCGCGCAUCUGCAAGGAUGCUGGCGUAAUGGUCAUCAACGACCCGUCUUGAAACACGGACCAAGGAGUCAAGGUUUUGCGCGAGUGUUUGGGUGUAAAACCCGCACGCGUAAUGAAAGUGAACGUAGGUGAGAGCUUCGGCGCAUCAUCGACCGAUCCUGAUGUAUUCGGAUGGAUUUGAGUAAGAGCGUUAAGCCUUGGACCCGAAAGAUGGUGAACUAUGCUUGGAUAGGGUGAAGCCAGAGGAAACUCUGGUGGAGGCUCGCAGCGGUUCUGACGUGCAAAUCGAUCGUCAAAUCUGAGCAUGGGGCGAAAGACUAAUCGAACCAUCUAGUAGCUGGUUA